rnacentral:rRNA from 1 species
UACAGAGGGGGCAAGCGUUAUUCGGAAUUAUUGGGCGUAAAGGGCGCGUAGGCGGCCUGGCAAGUGGAAGGUGAAAUCCCUCGGCUUAACCGAGGAACUGCCCUCCAAACUGCUUGGCUUGAGUUCGGGAGAGGAGAGUGGAAUUCCCAGUGUAGAGGUGAAAUUCGUAGAUAUUGGGAAGAACACCGGUGGCGAAGGCGGCUCUCUGGACCGAGACUGACGCUGAGGCGCGAAAGCGUGGGGAGCAAACAGG